rnacentral:rRNA from 1 species
GACGAACGCUGGCGGCGUGCUUAACACAUGCAAGUCGAACGGAAAGGCCCCUUUGGUGGUACUCGAGUGGCGAACGGGUGAGUAACACGUACGUAACCUGCCCUUGACUUCGGGAUAACUUCAGGCAACUGGGGCUAAUACCUGAUAGGAAUCCUUGCUUCAUGGUGGGGGUUGGAAAGCUUCGGCGGGUUUGGAUGGACUCGCGGCUUAUCAGCUUGUUGGUGGGGUAGUGGCUUACCAAGGGAUUGACGGGUAGCCGGCCCGAGAGGGCGACCGGCCAAAUUGGGACCGAGGAACGGCCCAGACUCCUACGGGGGGCAGCAGUGGGGAAUAUUGCAAAAUGGGCGGGAGCCUGAUGCAGCAAAGCCGCGUGCGGGAUGACGGCCUUCGGGUUGUAAAACGCUUUCAGCAGGGGCGAAGCUUGUGGUGACGGUACCUGCAGAAGAAGCACCGGCUAACUACGUG